GGGGCCAGGGUGUCACUCCCUGGUGCUAAACUACUUGGACAAGAGAGACUGUGAGCAGAUCUGUCAUCACCUGGCUACUGGGAGCACUUUGUGUCUGUGGCACUGUAUUCCCAGCCAAUCUUAAACCAUGAAGAUCCUCCAUCUGCUCUUUGCUGUUGUCUUCUUGGUGCUCCUGGAUGCCCCAGGAUAUUCCGAGGCUAAGAUAAGCCGAGCAGCGUGUAAACGCCGUGGAGGAAAAUGUUACCUUAGAUGUCCCGCUAAUUCCAUAUACAUUGCAAAAUGCUAUAUCGGUGUCUGCUGCCAAAGAAGUAUUUUUACUGAUUACCUGGAAUGAUCUCCAGGAAUCUGGGAGAGAGCCACUUGCUUCUAAAAUCAUCAGAUCCUGCCUCAAUGGAACCUUGAAGUCUCAUUCAUUUGGGCUGAAAAGAACCUUGUGACGAAGAGAAAUUCCAGAAGGGAGCCCUUCUUUUACACAUAUAAGAUUUGUUACUUUCCUUUUAAUAAAAGCAAGCUGGUGUAACAUCAUCAAA